ensembl:misc_RNA
CCCUCGUGGUGACUGUGCCUGUCAGUUGCAUGGAACUUCAUUCAAGGAUUUUAUGAGCCUGGUGGAUUUACAGUGAUACUCAACCAUCUGGGGAA